rnacentral:piRNA from 1 species
UCACUUAUCUAUCUCGAGAUA